UUGUAACGAGUGCCAAUAAAGACCAUUAAAAGGCCUCUGCGUCUGAGUCCUCUCUGAACCAUCUUGUCAGUCGCAUUCAGUUUAGCUGUGCUCAAAACAUAAAUAACAGGGUUGUUAUCACUAUAUAUUGUUACAGAGGGGGCAUAAAACAAAUAGUCUCUAAACCUGUCUGUAACAACCCAUUUGAGUGCUAAAAACUCAAGCUUCCCUUAAUGUAAGUGGUAGUUUUUUUCUGCUGGUGUCAAUGUUUGUGAACCAUACCCUAUCACUCUGAGUUUGCCUUCCUGCCACUGGUAUAACACUGCUCCCAGUCCUUGUUCUGAAGCAUCAAUAUGGAGAAUGAAAGGAUCUUCAAACCUUGGAUAUGCAAUUACAGGUGGGUUAGUCAAGACAUCCACUAAAUAGUUCAGAGCUUUCUGGUGACUAUCACGCCACACUAUUUUCUGAUGUGGGGGGAGCUGCCCUGCCCCUGCUGACUGGAAGGUGGGCUUUGACUUGGGAUAUAGAGUUGCAUCUGUUGAAAGCAGGUCAUACAGGCAUUUUACAUGACGAGAGAAAUCUUGCACAUAGCGUCUAUAAUACCCCAGAAAACCCAGAAGUUUGGGCAGCUCUCUGAUGUUUGUAGCGGGUUUUGUCUUUAGCACUUGUACAGCCGCAAUUUCUUUCUCAUCCAUCCUAUAGCCUUCAGCUGAGAUCACUUUGCCUAUGUAACGUACCUCAUUUUUGAACAGGUCACAUUUGUCUGGCCUCAGCUUAAUACCCCAAGUUUGCUGUCGUUUGAGGACAGCCCUCACAUCCUCAACAUGCUGUGUGAAAGUUUUACUGUAAAUUAGGACAUCAUCUAAGUCAUUUAAGCUUUGAGGUCAUGGCACGUCCAUCCAUCACAACCUCUGCCAGUUUCCCAAAGUUUUCUGCCUAUCCCCUGCUCUGCACCCUCUUGCCCAAUGUGUGUCAAUGCCGCACUUAAAACAAUGGUUGCAGUCCUUUUUGUCUUGCUGACAUGCUACACAUUGUCUCUUUGAUUUGUUAAAGGCAUUAGCUGGAGCUUUGGUCUGGUCGUCAUCAACAGUUUUUCUCCCACGCUGGACAGUUUGCACAAGUGAUGCUACUUGACCUGUGAGCUCCCUAAUUGCUGUGUUACUCUCUUCCAUUUUUGGCAAGAGCAGCUCAUCACUACUUCUCUCAUCCUGUAGAUAUAUCCACAUCUCCGUUCUUAUGUUAUCAUUGAUCAAACUUGUUAUGAUGGAUUGAGAACAUUGACUAUGAACUAGCUCUCUGUUAUAUUUCAGGCCAGAUUGUGCACACUCAGAUGAAAACAAGACCUUUUGGCGCAGAUCAAGUACCUGGACCAGAAAAUCAAGUGCUGGUUCACCAGAUCCCUGUACAGCUUUUGUCAGUUGUUGAUACAAUAGAGUUGCAUCUUUUUCUGCAUAGUGGGCUCUUAAUAUUUGUCAGAGAGUGGCUAAAGUUAAAUCUGUUUUCCCCUCCAAAUAGCUCCUCAAUUUCAAAAUGGGAUCUACAGCACGUAUCACAGCCUCCAAAAUUUCCACUUCUGGAUAACCUUUUCUUAAACCACUUUCAAUCUGGUGUUCAAGGCUGCUAUAGCUCAAUGGGUCUUUUGAUGUUGACUCAGUGUGGCAAUAUAUAGUUCAGUAACAAUCAGAUGGGCUGCAGUUCCACCCAAUCACAGUGGGAGACUGCCACAUAAAGGCGGGCGUAAAGCACCUGUCAGUCCUUUGGUUGCCGGAGGCUGGGUCACUCCUGUGCUUCCUCCAUUUCCGCGUCCGUGUGGUUACAGGUCCACUUGGGUGUUGCUGCUGGCUGCGCGCUGUUCACCUCUCUGUGCCACUCACUGCCUGCCGCUGGUCGCUCUCGGGGAGCGUUGAUCCUCCCGUUCCACGCUGUGUUGGCCGGGAUCGCCUGAUCGGUAUGUAGUGCAGUGGUUUUAGCUUCUUCCUCCAGCCAUUCAUAAGUUGCUCAUUGUUUGUUCGCUUCAUCGUAGGGCGACUGACCGUAACGGCGCAGCGCCGACAAAUCCGCUCCUAGAACCGCUGCUGCUUUGCUUCUGCUCUGUUUCCACUUCUUUCCCUCAGUUGAAGAGGUUGUUGGGUCUGGUUGCUGUGCCUGAUUGGAGCUGUGUGUUUGCGGAACUGAUCGCCUCGCUUGCGUCGGCAUUCGCCGCUCCGCCAGGUGCUGAGCCUACGGUGGUGGAUUGGUGUCCUGGUCACGGUGUCCCCUUUUUGUUGUGUUAGCACUUUGUAGCUUCUUUGUUUUGUUUACUUUGAUUUGCUUCACGUGUGGUGUUCCUGGGAUCCCCUUUUCUUUUGGAUACGGUUUUCCGCUGUAGGUCUCGGCACUGAUUGGUUCCCCUUAUAUGUCCCCUUACGUGAGUAAUUCUUUUUAUAGUAUUUUUAAAACAGAAAUUUGUAUAAAUAAAAGUAUUUUGUAUUAUCAAACUGCCGUCUCUGUCUCGUUGCAUAACGAACCUCAGUGCCUUGCUUUAUUUGGGUUAGUCGACUUAUAAGAAAUCCCUGGGUGAAAUUCCCAGGGUGGCGUUGUCUGGCAAUUUGAGAACAGAGACGUGCGUUCUGUGUUUUUGUUUUUUUUUCAUUUGUUUUAAAAGAAAAAUUGUGAUUUUGUUAAUGUAAGUGUCUGUGCCUGACCUGUGUCUAUUUUCUUUCUUUCUCUUCCUCCGAGGCAAAGCAGCAGCUGGUUUUGUGGACCUGCAACAAACCCUUUCCCCUUGUUCCUGGUCUCCUCCUCACGGUAGGGAAGGUUGUAGCUGGUAUAGGUUUAGUUAUGGAGGCAGAACUGCAGGAACUGAGGGAUUUAGUUGCUCAGCUAAGAGCAGACAACGAGAGGAUGAGACAGGAACAGGUAGCGGCCAUGCCUGGCCCUAGUACAGUGCCCCCAGUUUCGCUUGCGCCCACUGCACCCUCCUUUGCCAGUGCUCCUUCAACGGAGAGACUGAUUUUUGUGCCCAGAGACAGAAAAUGUCCCACAU